CGUAACAAGGUUUCCGUAGGUGAACCUGCGGAAGGAUCAUUAUAGAGUUUGCGCGGUUGCUGCUGGUUCUUACAAGUGCACGCCGUGUCUUUCUUAUCCACCCCACCGUGCAUCCCGGCGCGCCUCGUCUUUCGACGGGGGGCGGUCCGUUUUUUUACACCUUACCUUUUGUAACCGAGCGAAUGAAAUUGAUUUAACAAUGUACAACUAUCAACAACGGAUCUCUUGGCAUCCCACUCGAUGAAGAACGCAGCGAAUUGCGAUAAGUAAUGUGAAUUGCAGAAUUCAGUGAAUCAUCGAAUCUUUGAACGCACCUUGCGCCCUCUGGUAUUCCGGAGAGCAUGCCCGGUUGAGUAUUAUGAUCAUCUCAAACCUUUUGCUUCUGAUUGCAAAGGUCUUGUGUUCGGCGAAGUCGUCUAUCGAGGCGGCGGUAGCUGAACCUGGACUUGGAAGUGUAUUGGUCUUGGACUUGAGCGUCUCGUCGGUCCGCUUGGAUCGACCCGCUUGAAAUGUAUUAGCUGGCGACCCGCCUUACGGUUCCACUCGGCGUAGUAAGUCUUAUCGUCGAGGACGCCUCUCUGGAGGUGGCCUAUGGGUUUGGUGUGAUGCCGCUUCCAGUCGUCUUUGGACAGUCUUGAACCUUUAAUCUCAACUCGGGUAGGACUACCCGCUGAACUUAAGCAUAUCAAUAAGCGGAGGAAAAGAAACUACAAGGAUUCCCCUAGUAACGGCGAGUGAAGCGGGAAGAGCUCAAAUUUUAAAUCUGGCGUCCUUCGGGCGUCCGAGUUGUAAUCUAGAGAAGCGUUUUCGCGCCGGACCUACCAUAAGUUACCUCGAACGGUGCAUCAUAGAGGGUGAGAAUCCCGUAUGUUGGUGGGUGCUCCGGUGCAUGUGAUGCGCUCUCGACGAGUCGAGUUGUUUGGGAAUGCAGCUCAAAACGGGAGGUAAAUUCCUUCUAAAGCUAAAUACGUUGGGAUGACCGAUAGCGAACAAGUACCGUGAGGGAAAGAUGAAAAGCACUUUGGAAAGAGAGUCAAACAGUACGUGAAAUUGUUGGUAGGGAAACGCUUGAAGUCAGUCGCGUCUUUUGGGACUCAGCCUCGCUUUUGCUUGGUGUAUUUCCCGAUCGAUGGGCCAGCAUCCGUUUCGUCCGCCGGAAAAGGGCAGUUUGAAUGUGGCACGGCCUCGGUCGUGUGUUAUAGCUUUCUGUCGUACACGGCGUCCGGGACGGAUCUAACGGCACGCUUUCAGCGGUGCCUGUGUUGGCGUAAUGGCUUUAAACGACC
rnacentral:rRNA from 1 species